GGCCCAGUGGCGGAUGGUCCGUGCCUGCACUCAAUGGAUGGCGAUCUCUACAUAAGGUGUCAUGCGGGAAUCGCUCGUUCGAAUCGAGCCUGGGUCA